CCUACGGGUGGCAGCAGUAGGGAAUCUUCCGCAAUGGACGAAAGUCUGGCGGAGCAACGCCGCGUGAGCGAAGAAGGUCUUCGGAUCGUAAAGCUCUGUUGUUAGGGAAGAACAAGUACGGGAGGAAAUGACCGUACCUUGACGGUACCUGACGAGGAAGCCACGGCUAACUACGUGCCAGCAGCCGCGGUAAUACGUAGGUGGCAAGCGUUGUCCGGAAUUAUUGGGCGUAAAGCGCGCGCAGGCGGUCUUUUAAGUCUGAUGUGAAAUCUUGCGGCUCAACCGCAAGCGGGCAUUGGAAACGGGGGGACUUGAGGGAGGAAGAGGAAAGCGGCAUUCAGGGGGGAGCGGUGAAAUGCGGAGAGAUGGGGGGGAACAAGAGUGGCGAAGGCGGCUGUAUGGGCUGUAACUGACGCUGAGGCGCGAAAGCGUGGGGGGCAAACAGGAUUAGAUACCCGAGUAGUC
rnacentral:rRNA from 1 species